GGUCCGUUGGUCAAGGGGUUAAGACACCGCCUUUUCACGGCGGUAACACGGGUUCGAAUCCCGUACGGACUG
rnacentral:tRNA from 9 species